rnacentral:rRNA from 1 species
GACGUAGGGGGCGAGCGUUGUCCGGAUUCAUUGGGCGUAAAGAGCGCGUAGGCGGCCCGGAAAGUGGGGUGUGAAAACCCGAGGCUCAACCUCGGGCGUGCAUUCCAAACUCCCGGGCUCGAGGCAGGUAGGGGAGAUCGGAAUUCCUGGUGUAGCGGUGAAAUGCGCAGGAUAUCAAGGAGGAACACCGGUGGCGAAGGCGGAUCUCGUGGGC